CAAGCCAGCCCUCCUCCCAGUCAGACAGCACCCCAGAGCCCGCCAUCAUUCCGUCCAUCAUUUCGGACCAGGAAACCUCAGCUUCCAUGGAAACCGCCGAGCCCCGCACCCUCACAGAGGACCUCGUCGGAACGGCGCGGGCGUCUCCCCCACCCGACAGGUUCCCCAGGACGGCCACGUUCGCCGCUUCGGCCACCCACUGGGGGUGCGAGAGCCGCUGGCUCCCCACACUGCCCGAGCCGGGCCCUGCUGAGGCCUCCGCCUCAACUCCAGCCCUGAGGCCCGACUAGGCCUGACCCUCCUUCAGAGGCUCGUUACCUUGGGUGGGACUGGGGAUGGGACAGCGGGCAGGGGUCGGGGAAGCGAGCCGAGCGGCGGCAGGGACAGCUACAGCAGGGGAAAUUUCCACCACGACGAGAUUCGGUCGGAAAAGGAAAAAAUCCGCCGGCGAGGGGGGAGGGGAGAAAAGCCGGGCUCAGGCAGGAAGAAAAGACAAGGCGAGCGAGAUCCCGCGAGAUGUACAAACUCUCGCGAAAUGGCACCCCGAUCACGUGACCCACGCCGUCCUCUUGAACAAACUGCGGCUUCGGAAGGGGGAGUGGGUGUGGUCUAACGGGCAGGAAGUGGCGUGUCUGCGCUGCGCCAGGAGCAGAAGGCAGGUUCGUCUUACGUCAGUUCCGCCUCGUAGUGGGAACAGCGGCUGGAGCUCUCUUGUGGGGUGUUCCCGAUGAGAAGGAGAUUUGCGAAUGGGUUGGGAGAGAUGGCGCGUUCCUUGUGUCUCACGGGGAGGCAGAGACAGGCAGAUCUGAGACUGAGGCUGCAUAGCGAGACCCUGAAGUCAAGAGAAGGAAAGUUUUGUUGUGUAGAAAAUAAAUAUAGCCAAUAAAGAUAGAUUGAGCCAUAGAAUGGGAACGGUGACCAUUUCAGGUGCGUAGGCAUCACCCAUGGUAGCUAAAA
rnacentral:lncRNA from 1 species